AUGAACUUACAACCGCGCGGAUUAGGUGUUAAACGGACACGUUCCUGCCUAAAAUGGCGAGUCUUAUGUUAUGA
rfam:Bacillus lehensis G1, complete genome.